UCGAGAAUUUUUCUCAAUGGGGGAAACCCUGAAGGAGCGACGCCGCGUGGAGGAUGAAGGUCUUCGGAUUGUAAACUCCUGUCAUUUGAGAACAAAACCCCGGUUUAACUGGCUGGGGCUUGAUAGUAUCAGAAGAGGAAGAGACGGCUAACUCUGUGCCAGCAGCCGCGGUAAUACAGAGGUCUCAACCGUUGUUCGGAUUCAUUGGGCGUAAAGGGUGCGUAGGCGGUCGCGUAAGUCGGAUGUGAAAUCUUAGGGCUCAACCCUGAAACUGCAUUCGAUACUGCGUGGCUAGGGUACUGGAGAGGAGACUGGAAUUUACGGUGUAGCAGUGAAAUGCGUAGAUAUCGUAAGGAAGACCAGUGGCGAAGGCGAGUCUCUGGACAGUUACCGACGCUGAGGCACGAAGGCCAGGGGAGCAAACG
rnacentral:rRNA from 1 species